UACGUAGGGUGCAAGCGUUAAUCGGAAUUACUGGGCGUAAAGCGUGCGCAGGCGGUUUUGUAAGUCUGACGUGAAAUCCCCGGGCUCAACCUGGGAAUUGCGUUGGAGACUGCAAGGCUGGAGUCUGGCAGAGGGGGGUAGAAUUCCACGUGUAGCAGUGAAAUGCGUAGAGAUGUGGAGGAACACCGAUGGCGAAGGCAGCCCCCUGGGUCAAGACUGACGCUCAUGCAUGAAAGCGUGGGGAGCAAACAGG
rnacentral:rRNA from 1 species